rnacentral:rRNA from 1 species
UUGCCUAGAGAUGAGCUUGCGUCUGAUUAGCCUGUUGGUAGGGUAAAAGCUUACCAAAGCUAUAAUCAGUAGCUGGUCUGAGAGGAUAGACAGCCACACCGGAACUUAGAUACGGUCCGGACUCCUACGGGAGGCAGCAGUGAGGAAUUUUCCGCAAUGGGCGAAAGCCUGACGGAGCAAUACCGCGUGGAGGAUGAAAGCCUAUGGGUUGUAAACUCCUUUUCUUAGAGAAGAAGUUCUGACGGUAUCUAAAGAAUAAGCAUCGGCUAACUCCGUGCCAGCAGCCGCGGUAAUACGGGGGAUGCAAGCGUUAUCCGGAAUUAUUGGGUGUAAAGCGUCUGUAGGUUGCUUACUUAAGUCAGUUGUUAAAUUUCAGAACUCAAUUUUGAUACCAGCAACUGAAACUAAUAAGCUAGAGUCAAGUAGAGGUAGAAGGAACUCCGAGUGUAGCGGUGAAAUGCGUAGAUAUUCGGAAGAACACCGAUGGCGAAAGCAUUCUGCUGGACUUGUACUGACACUGAGAGACGAAAGCGAGGGGAGAGAAUGGGAUUAGAUACCCCAGUAUUCCUCGCCGUAAACGAUGGAUAUUAGGUAUUAGGUAAAACUAUUUAGUACUGAAGCUAACGCGUUAAAUAUCCCACCUGGGGAGUAUGCUCGCAAGAGUGAAACUUAAAGGAAUUGACGGGGGCCCGCACAAGCGGUGGAGCAUGUGGUUUAAUUCGACAACGCGAAGAACCUUACCAGGACUCGACUACAUCUAUCGCUCUUUGAAAGAAGAGAUUGUUAAGGAUGACAGGUGGUGCAUGGCUGUCGUCAGCUCGUGCCGUGAGGUGUUGGGUUAAGUCCCGCAACGAGCGCAACCCUUGUUUUUAGUUAUUUCUCUAAAAGUACUGCCGGUGACAAACCGGAGGAAGGUGGGGAUGACGUCAGGUCAUCAUGGCCCUUACGGCCAGGGCUACACACGUGCUACAAUGGUGCGUACAGAGGGCUGCAAACCCGCGAGGGGGAGCUAAUCUCACAAAACGCAUCGUAGUCCGGAUCGGAGUCUGCAACUCGACUCCGUGAAGUCGGAAUCGCUAGUAAUCGCGAAUCAGAAUGUCGCGGUGAAUACGUUCCCGGGCCUUGUACACACCGCCCGUCACACCACGGAAAUUGGCUACACCCAAAGCUAUUACCUUAACCAAAUCAAGGAGAGGGGUAUCU